rnacentral:rRNA from 1 species
AGAAUCAACGCUGGCGGCGUGCCUAACACAUGCAAGUCGAACGAGAAAGUGGAGCAAUCCAUGAGUAAAGUGGCGACCGGGUGAGUAACACGUGACUAACCUACCUUCGAGUGGGGAAUAACCUCGGGAAACCGGGGCUAAUACCGCAUAAUGUCUUCGGACCAAAGGAGCAAUUCGCUUGAAGAGGGGGUCGCGGCCGAUUAGCUAGUUGGUGGGGUAACGGCCCACCAAGGCAAUGAUCGGUAGCCGGCCUGAGAGGGCGCACGGCCACACUGGAACUGAAACACGGUCCAGACUCCUACGGGAGACAGCAGUGGGGAAUUUUGCGCAAUGGGGGAAACCCUGACGCAGCAACGCCGCGUGGAGGAUGAAGCCCCUUGGGGUGUAAACUCCUUUCGAUCGGGACGAUUAUGACGGUACCGGAUGAAGAAGCACCGGCUAACUCUGCGCCAGCAGCCGC